AUGGUGGGAAUGAGGAAAGAUCCUAAGCUUGGAGAUGGUGCCGGUAGAACUUACGAAGUCACCAAAAACCAAAUCCAACACUCACCGAGGUAGGUGGACGGAAAAAGGAUGAUUUUUGAGUAGGAGAUUAGAGACCUUUAUUUUGAUGUCUCUUUACCCAUUAUUUUGUAACUUCAAUUGAUUAUAAUUGAAUUAACUAAUUGC